GGCGGACGGGUGAGUAAUACUUAGGAAUCUGCCCAGUAGUGGGGGACAACUCGAGGAAACUCGAGCUAAUACCGCAUACGCCCUACGGGGGAAAGCGGGGGAUCUUCGGACCUCGCGCUAUUGGAUGAGCCUAAGUCGGAUUAGCUUGUAGGUAGGGUAAUGGCCUACCUAGGCGACGAUCCGUAGCUGGUCUGAGAGGACGAUCAGCCACACUGGGACUGAGACACGGCCCAGACUCCUACGGGAGGCAGCAGUGGGGAAUAUUGGACAAUGGGCGCAAGCCUGAUCCAGCAAUGCCGCGUGUGUG
rnacentral:rRNA from 1 species